rnacentral:misc_RNA from 1 species
CCAGUUCAUCCAAACGAGUUCCCCAAUCUUCUCUUAUGCUCAAUGGUCGAACAAUUUUGCUACCGUAAUCCGCCAUAGCUUCAUCCUCUGCUGCUUGUUCACUCACUUUUCUACUACUACUUAACGAUGAACUAUCUCUUCCAUGUCUCUUCUUCUUCAUUUUCCGUGCCGUUGCUUUUUCCAGUGCCUGCAAUACGUCAAAUCCAGUAAGUUUCUUCUCUUCAUCCUUUAAAUCUACUUGUACUCGUUCUUCUUCUGCUUGUUGUAUGUUCGUUGUUUGUGAUUUCUUCCAAAAUCUCUGCUUCUGCUCUGCCGUAUAACCUAAAUGAUUUGUUUGCGAUUUCUUCUGAAUUUUCUGCUUUUGCUCCGCCGUAUAUGCUAAAUCGAGGUUUCUAAGCUGCGAGUAGAGCUGAAACUUCCUCGGAGCUCCGGGCGUAAGACAAUUCGCCGCCGGUUUAGUGGUGGCGAAUGGUGCCGGAGCGGCAAGUGAAAGGCUCAUCGAGG